rnacentral:rRNA from 1 species
CCUACGGGUGGCAGCAGUGGGGAAUAUUGCACAAUGGGGGGAACCCUGAUGCAGCGACGCCGCGUGAGUGAUGAAGUAUUUCGGUAUGUAAAGCUCUAUCAGCAGGGAAGAAAAUGACGGUACCUGACUAAGAAGCCCCGGCUAACUACGUGACAGCAGCCGCGGUAAUACGUAGGGGGCAAGCGUUAUCCGGAUUUACUGGGUGUUAAGGGAGCGUAGUGGGUUAUGCAAGUCUGAAGUGAAAGCUCAAGGCUCAACCAUGGGACUGCUGUGGAAACUGUAAAGCUGGAGUGCAGGAGAGGUAAGCGGAAUUCGUAGUGUAGCGGUGAAAUGCGUAGAUAUUACGAGGAACCCCGGUGGCGAAGGCAGCUUACUGGACUGUAACUGACGUUGAGGCUCGAAGGCGUGGGGAGCAAACAGGAUUAGAUACCCGAGUAGUC